rfam:Myotis lucifugus cont2.53134, whole genome shotgun sequence.
GCAGUAUUGCUCAGUGUAUAGAGCAUCAGCCUGUGGACUGAAGGGUCCCAGGUUCGAUUCCUGGGUUGCA